rnacentral:rRNA from 1 species
UAGGGGGCGAGCGUUGUUCGGAAUCAUUGGGCGUAAAGGGUGCGCAGGUGGCCGAUCAAGUCUGGCGUGAAAGUGCGGGGCUCAACUCCGUGAUGCGCUGGAAACUGGCCGGCUAGAGUACAGCAGGGGGCGUCGGAAUUCCAGGUGUAGGGGUGAAAUCUGUAGAUAUCUGGAAGAACACCGGUGGCGAAGGCGGACGCCUGGGCAUGUACUGACACUGAGGCACGAAGGUGCGGGGAGCAAA